AGAUUGAACGCUGGCGGCAUGCCUUACACAUGCAAGUCGAACGGCAGCACGGGGGUAACCCUGGUGGCGAGUGGCGAACGGGUGAGUAAUACAUCGGAACGUGUCCUGUAGUGGGGGAUAGCCCGGCGAAAGCCGGAUUAAUACCGCAUACGAUCUACGGAAGAAAGCGGGGGAUCCUUCGGGACCUCGCGCUAUAGGGGCGGCCGAUGGCAGAUUAGCUAGUUGGUGGGGUAAAGGCCUACCAAGGCGACGAUCUGUAGCUGGUCUGAGAGGACGACCAGCCACACUGGGACUGAGACACGGCCCAAACUCCUACGGGAGGCAGCAGUGGGGGAAUAUUGGACAAUGGGCGAAAGCCUGAUCCAGCCAUGCCGCGUGAGUGAUGACGGCCUUAGGGUGUAAAGCUCUUUCGCUAGGGACGAGUAAUGACGGUACCUAGACAAGAAGCCCCGGCUAACUUCGUGCCAGCAGCCGC
rnacentral:rRNA from 1 species